AAAAACUUGAGUUUUUAAUAAUAAAAUUAAUAGACUACUUCUAAAGACUUAUUUUACAGAAGGAAAAACAAAGGCCUUGUAACCUUUAAAAACAACAAAAAGAAAAAAACGGUGUCUGCCUCUGAACAUGCAUCCUCACUGGGGAACCUGAAAAUCCAGGAAACAGUAGGAUUUAACCUUACCUAGAGCUGAAGAGAGCUGAGCGAAAAUUAAAAGUAGAAGCAACAGCAGGAAGAGCCCUAUAAGCACUCCUGGUCCCCAGGGAAGCCAUUUCUGACUUUAUCUCACAGGGGUCCUUCGGGAGGGUUGCCACUGGAAUUAGGGAAGGACCACAGGUAGAAGGAAAGUUCCAGAUGAACUUUGUGAUAAUUUCAAUUGAGCAUGAAUUUUCCUGGGAGGAAUGGAGGAAGGGGUGGGAGAGGUUCAAACAGGAAGUGCAGAUGCCACACUUCAAAACUUCCCUCCCUCACCAUGCUAUGAACCUCUAGAAGGCAAGAGGUAGGCUUCAUUCACCUUUGUAUUCCCGGUAUAUAGCAUAGGCUAAAUAAAAGUUAGCAGUUAAUUGACUGCAUGGAUGUAUGUAUAUGCAUGGAGAGACAGUAAAACAGACAGCUGGCCAGCUGGCUGAGUACUCUACUUCUGAAUCAUAGAUUGCUUCUUAGAAAAGUAGAACUAAAACUGAAGCAUAGGGUCAAGGUUAGGCCAAGGAGGGAAAUGUGAGGAUACAGGGAGAGAACAAAGGUUAGAUGUUGAAUUCUGACUGAGAUUCUGCCCUCACCUCACUGUUACUGCAAUCUAGUCAAUGUGUGUGUUGGGAGGCAGGGAUCAUCUACAAGACAUGUUAAAUAUCUAUAGUGUGGGGAAAAGAAAGAGAGAUCAGAUUGUUACUGUGUCUGUGUAGAAAGAAGUAGACACAAGAGACUCCAUUUUGUUCUGUACUAAGAGAAAUUCUUCUGCCUUGAGAUGCUGUUAAUCUGUAACCUUACCCCCAACCCUGUGCUCCCUGAAACAUGUGCUGUGUCAACUCAGGGUUAAAUGGAUUAAGGGCUGUGCAAGAUGUGCUUUGUUAAACAAAUGCUUGAAGGCAAAUGCUUGAAGGCAGCAGUGGUUAAGAGUCAUCACCACUCCCUAAUCUCAAGUACCCAGGGACACAAAACCCUGCAGAGACCUCUGCCUAGGAAAGCCAGGUAUCGUCCAAGGUUUCUCCCCAUGUG
rnacentral:lncRNA from 1 species